CCAUGACUUGAAACGAGUGCGUCGACGCAACGACGCCGACGCAGACGCAGAAACGUGCGCCAGCCUUCAGUCCACCCGGGAAAGGGCACCGAAGCGACGGUGCACCUUCGUCGGACCUCGCGCUGUGAGGAAGUUACUAAACAGGAUUGCUGUGUUGCACUCAAGGGGGCAGAGUCGUUUGCAGGAGAGCAUCUGAAAUGGGAUUCUUGGAGAACAACAGAUGCAAUUAUUGCCGAUGUCACUUCUGGUAACCUCCGAAACACAUGUGCUUCAAGAUCACAUAUAGAUGUAGAUCACACAAAUGCAAACAUUUAUAUCAAGCUAGACUUGUUUCACCGCAUGAGGCAGUUCCUCCGUGAGUGUGUGUCGGAGCAUCACGUCCUGUACAGUUCCUUUGCUCAGUUCCUCUGGACUGGGACAAGAACAACAGCAAGACAGAUCACACCCAGGCCCCGAAUCCACCUCCUCAGAGUGAUCCACUCGCUACGCAGUCGGAGGUUCCUCUGUCAUCCUCACUGGCACCAUCAAGGUUGUUCCAGUUUUCUCCAUGCCCCCCUGCCGAUUCUGCUGUGAAACCAGAUGUGAGUCCCAGAACAACCCCAGGGCCUCGGGGAGAGCCAGAAACUUCACGUCCGCCGUCGCUGGCAGUUAUCGACCAGCUGCUCAACAAACACCGUGAGCAGAAAGACAUGCUGAAGCUUGUGGACCAGGACUACGCUGCUCUAGUUCACAACUCCUGCACAAACCCCAACAGCAUGCUCCACCCGACAGCAAAACUACAUAUCGUACAAUAUGUAAAGCACCUCAGCAAAUUGUUGAACACCAGUUCCUCUUUAAACGUCAGUCCAGAAAAACUGCAAGAGAGGCUGAAACUCUGGUCGCAAGUGUCGGUUCUGUAAGACGGAACUGAAGCAGGGCCCAAACAGUCGUCACAUUCACACUGGGUUCCCUGGAGUUACAGGGAAGUACAUUUUCUGCCCCACUAAAAUCUUUUCACUAUGCAAAGACCAGGGCAUGGACAAGGAAAUGACAUGGAGAGAGUUCCAGGGGUCUGCUUUCUUUGACAAAUUAAAAUAGAGAUGGGAGGCUGAAAUGAGGAAAGAAGAGAAAUAAUAGGGGGAGUUCCAUCUAGCAUUUUACGUCCAAUUAUUUGUAAUAUUCAUGUUGUAAUUAGUUUAUAUAUUGGUUUCUUGCUUUUGUGACUUUGUACAUUAAAAUAUUAUCUUUUUAUUUAUUCUUUAUAUUUGGUUUUAUGGUUCAUUAGUUUACUUAUUUAGAUGUCUUUAUUUCUGUAACAUUUCUGUUUGUAUAGGACUAUACAAAUCUGUUGAUCUAUCUGUGUUCAACAUUUACUGUCCAA